UAUGAGGUAGAGAAGCACAGUGGAACUGAUGGGCACAGAUCUCUGAACUCUCAGCCUGUAGCAAAGAUGGUAAUAAAUCUGAGGGACUUUUACAUGAACACAUUAAUUUACAGAUCAUUGGGAGUGGUCUGGUAUUUUGCUGUGGUCUUCCUUGCCCUGGGGACUGAAGUCCCAUUUGAUGUCACUGUUUGGUUAUAUGUUUACAAUAGACUCCCUUCGAGGAUUGGUUUUCUUACCUUUGCGCAGAAAGUCCUUUUUAAAAAUUUCUUAUGUGACGAUCGGUCAGUUAUUUUUGACUUCCAAAUUGCCAGCGGUUUAGACCAACUGUUUGAUUCAGACGGACCCCAAAAUUGGGUACGUUAAAGGAAAAACAGCUGGGCUGUUGGAAGAAGCGAGAACUAGCAAAGUCUUUGACUGAACUUUAGGGUGAGAACUGCCUGGGACGAAGAAAGCACAAUGGAAGAUGGCUGAAAGCCGCAAAAGACUACUGAGCACCCUGGAUCUGGGUAUCUUUGGACGAGUUCUUUUGAAUUGAUGGAUGUGUGAAACUGCUAAUAUGUAAACCACAAUCUGAUGGAUUUAGUGUGUAAGAGAAACAUGAGGACAGGUUAAAACAGGAGGUAAUCUUCUUGAAGAUGUAAAACUGCAGCACAACAGCAGUAAUGGGACAACCUAUUGCAGAAAGAUGUCGGCUGUGUCAAGGUGAGACAUAAUGAUGAAUGGCCUGAACUUCAGCUUGCAGGAGUUGCUAAGAAAAAUUGAACAGAACCUACCCUGGAAGAGAGAGCCCAGAGAAUUGCCAAAGCUGUCCGCAAACAGUCAAUAGAAGUGAAGGAAAAUUGGGAGCAAUUGAAAACCCGUGCGAGCAACUGGCAGAAACAGGUGGAAAAGGCGUUGGAGAAACUUCAAGAACUGCAGAAAGCUCUGGAUGAUCUUGAGGCUCAUGUGAUAACAGCUGAGGGGGUCCACACUGAUCAGCAACCUGUGGGUGACCUGCUUAUUGACUCAUUGCAGGGUCACAUUGAUAAAACCACAGUAAGUGCAAUUACAUUACACUUCACUUAUGAACAGAUGUAACCACAAUGUUGUAU